UCCUUGGUGGUGUAGUGGCCAAGACUCCACACUCCCAAUGCAGGGGUCCCAGGUUCAAUCCCUGGUCAGGGAA
rnacentral:tRNA from 1 species